rnacentral:rRNA from 1 species
AUUGAACGCUGGCGGCAUGCCUUACACAUGCAAGUCGAACGGCAGCGCGGACUUCGGUCUGGCGGCGAGUAGCGAACGGGUGAGUAAUACAUCGGAACGUACCCUGUUGUGGGGGAUAACUAGUCGAAAGAUUAGCUAAUACCGCAUACGACCUGAGGGUGAAAGUGGGGGACCGCAAGGCCUCACGCAGCAGGAGCGGCCGAUGUCUGAUUAGCUAGUUGGUGGGGCAAAGGCCCACCAAGGCGACGAUCGGUAGCUGGUCGGGGAGGACGAUCAGCCACACUGGGACUGAGACACGGCCCAGACUCCUACGGGAGUCAGCAGUGGGGAAUUUUGGACAAUGGGGGCAACCCUGAUCCAGCAAUGCCGCGUGUGUGAAGAAGGCCUUCGGGUUGUAAAGCACUUUUGUCCGGAAAGAAAUCGCGCUGGUUAAUACCUGGCGUGGAUGACGGUACCGGAAGAAUAAGCACCGGCUAACUACGUGCCAGCCGCCGCAGUAA